rnacentral:rRNA from 1 species
UACGUAGGGUGCGAGCGUUGUCCGGAAUUAUUGGGCGUAAAGAGCUCGUAGGCGGCUUGUCACGCCGGAUGUGAAAGCCCGAGGCUUAACCUCGGGUCUGCAUUCGAUACGGGCUAGCUAGAGUGUGGUAGGGGAGAUCGGAAUUCCUGGUGUAGCGGUGAAAUGCGCAGAUAUCAGGAGGAACACCGGUGGCGAAGGCGGUUCUCUGGGCCUUACCUGACGCUGAGGAGCGAAAGCGUGGGGAGCGAACAGG